AUAUACGGACAGUAUUUCAUCCUUCACAUGAAUCAAGUGUUAAAUCACUGUGUUUCAGCCACACCAUCAUCAGGGCCUACAACUGUGGCAGCAGGAACUGUAGCUGUUUUACUGGCCACCAUGCUCCUCGUCAUCUUCCUCUGGAUGAGAAGAAAGAGGGCUUCUAGGAAAGCGCGUGGCCAGGGAGGAAGGCCAGAUACCAGGGAGGAGUCUCCUCCGUGUCCUGUGUAUGACAACGUCUCAGCUCUGACCAAUCGCUCGGCUUCUGCAGCACAGAGAGAACCAAUAGAAGAGCAGGAUGAGCCUCACUAUGCCAGCAUCCACAUCUCUCGCUCUAAGAACCAGGAAGUGCCUUGUGGGUUUGCUGGUGUUCUGGUAGAGUCUGAUCAUACAGAGCAGGUCCUUUACUCUGCCAUCAACCUUAAAAGACCCAAGGCUGUCCCUGAAUAAGCACUCUUGAUAGUUCUCGAAAAUAAACUUUGAGGCUUGAGACUUCAUCCUCCAAAGGGACAGCUUGUGGAGGCAAAGGCAAAGCCAUUUAUAAACAUGUACAAUUUACUGAGUUUCUUAACUUCUCUUUUUCACUUCUUCUUUUCACUGAAAGUAAACUGAUGUAAGAUCGGUAUACCACCCUCAAAUAAACAUCCCAGAAAAUGCAUUAUUUUGAUAUAGAAUCAGCAUAACAUUUCUACCAACAAAUUUGUAUUUUAUUGUCAGAAUCUUCACAGUGAUUGUGUAUAUUGUUUAGUUUGUUAGUUGCUAAGAAUAUUCCUCUCGCGAGAGAAAAACGCUUUAAAUCAUUUCUUUGUCUGUUGAUAUGGGUGAUGCUAUCACAAAAAAAAGAAAAUAAAUAAACUUAUCACAAAAAGUAAGGAAAUUUGUGUAUGGUUGAUUAUUUAUCUAUGGUUACAAUGCUCUUUGGCAAUAAAUCUUAUACCGUUGGAAAGCCUGUAUAAUUCCCUUUCGAAUGGUGCCCCAUUUGAAAGGAACAAGCACUUGUGGGAUGAGCAGCAGAGCUGAGUAUGUGGGUUGCGCCCUUGAAAAAUUUGCCAAAUCUUCUCUGCCAAUCCCAAACAGCCUAUUCUGCCAUU